rnacentral:SRP_RNA from 1 species
UUGUGCUAGGCGGGGAGCUAGCGGUGCCCUUUUCCCGAAAUCCGCUCAAUGCGGGGCUGAAUCCCCUCUGAAGGAUUUUACCCUGAAAACAAAGGAUCAUUAUGAUCGGCCACCGUGCAACAGACGGUUACGAACCUCGUCAGGUCCGGAAGGAAGCAGCGAUAAGUAAUGUGCGGUCUGUGUCGCGGAUCGAUCCCGGUCAACCUAUGGUUCAUGUGUUUCAGGAAAUGAUUCGACAGAGGGUGCACAA